CAGAGAGCCGGCGAGGGGAUGUGGCGGCGCGGCUUGCGGCGCCCCGGCUCCCGCCGCCUCACCUCGCUCGAUAUUGGCGAUGGCCCGCCGCAGGUGCUCCUCGGUCACCAGCUCGCCGACGACCACCAGCAGAUACUUUGAAGACUUGCCAGGUGGUGCCCACUGGAGAAAGCCAGCUUUGCCUUCCGUCACUGCAGCCUGCAGUUUUGGGAUAUGCCUUUAUUUCAAUCACCAACAAGAGCAGCUAGGCUCUCAGCCAUGGAAGGGGCUUGCCAAGGGGACUUGCCAACUGGUUGCAGAAUAGACAGAAGUGGAAACAAUCCAUAGCUGGAAAGAUGCCUGUGAAUUUGAAAAGUAGGAGCUGAGAAGAAUGCAUUUUAUCGAAAAAUAAAAUGCUUACAUUAAGGUAACAGCGUAGGAACUCAUCAUCUGGGGGAGAAAAGGAAGAAGGUUGGUUCUGGCACAGUUCCCCUGCAGCCCUGCAAGACCCAGGGCGUUGCACAGAGGUGCUUUGAAUCCUCAGACUCCGUUAGUCCUCUCUCUUAUCUGAAGGCAGUGCUGGAGGAUGGCUGAACUCCCUCACACCGCACAGGGAGUUGUUCCAGAACAGAUUGCAAGGAGAGUGAUGCAGCACAACUCGGCUCCCUCCUUCUCUCAAGAUAGAAACUGGGCUUUGAAAACAAUAAGCCUCUCCACCAGGCAUGCUCAGAACCUCCCCGCCGGCUGCUGGUUACUGUUGGCACCCACUUACUGCCUGGAAAGUGUAAAAAGCUCUUUCCUGAUGUGCCAUGGGCUGAAUCACUGGUUUUGUAGUUUUGAAAAAUAUAAAUAUUUGAUGAGCUACGGGCUGUCAUUGUCUCCCAGCUCCUUUUCCUGUGCUGUAUUUUUCACACGGGAACCAAGUAAAAAUCGGUGUGCAUACAAAGAUCACAUAUCCAACCCUGUGAAAUGAACUCCUAAGGUGAAUGCAUCUAGGUGUACAAAAAGCCUUUGCUAUGAGUAACAGAUUUUCUCCUGCAAGAGGCAAUAUCUUUAGCAAUUUCCCUUGGAUUUUUCAAAUGUUGUAACUUUUCAGUGCUAUAAGUGUAAUUCAGCAUCGGUAAAAAAAACCUCUUAGAGGUGCUACAACAGUGGUAAUUUUUAUUGCCUCCACCAGAGUAUUGAUCUGAGACUGGACAGUAGCCCCCAGUUAUUUCUGAACAUAGCAGUGUCAAGCUGGCAAAAUAGAAGUCAGGCUAAGGGUAAGGUCACAAAUAAAUUGAGAACAGAAAUACUCUAUUCAGAGUGAUGCAGAAAUAACA